GGGAAGGUGGCUCAGUGGUAUAGCGCUUGCCUUGCAUGCAUGAGACCCUGGGUUCGAUUCCUCAGCACCCG
rnacentral:tRNA from 1 species